UGUGACGCUGCGCAGCCCUAACACAUGCACGUCGAGCGGCAGCACGGUGUCUCGCUACACGAGUGGCAACGCGCCACACGGUUGAUUAACCGCUUAUACUCCCUCCAUAGUACCGGGGUAUAUCCUGUUGACGGACGGUCUAACCCCCUAUGCCACAGGAGGAUCCGGAUGCGUGUAGUUUGCCAAAGAUUAAUCGCGACGUCCAUAGACAUGCGUUCCAUUCGCUUGGUCUCCGAGGUACGGCGCUCACCAAGCCAAUGUUUGAUCAUGAUAACUGACAGGUUCAUCCCCCACACUGGUCCUAGAUCCACGGUCCAGACUCCUACGGGAGUGAUCAGCAGAUGAAUAUUGGUCAGUGCCACGAGAGUCUGAAUCAGCCAAGUCGUCGUGUAGGAAUACGGCCUUAUGAGCUUGUUAACUUCUUUUUUCUGGGAAUAAGUAGUCUGACGGGCUAAGACGUUGCGCGGUACCUUACUAUAAGGAUCGGCUACUUCAUACCAGCAGCG
rnacentral:rRNA from 1 species